GGAAGGAUCAUUAACACGUGAUUUCUCACGUUUUUUCCAAAGUAGUGAACCGUUACCUACUGUUGACAUCAAGGGGUGAGCAUGGAAUGGUGUGAGUGUAACAGCUCUUAGUGCUUGCCUUGAACGUUCGCGUUGUCUGUGUGGAGACGUAAUAGUCUUGCAUCAUCCUCUAGCGUUCAAACUUGGUCGUUGAUGGUAGGCUGAAAGUUUCGGCUGUGUGGCCAGCACCUUGGCUUUGCAGUUCGGAGCGCCUAAACUAUUUACUGUGUAAUUUUUAUCUGAUUAUGUACGAUCUUUUGAAUUCCGAGUGCGUUUAACAAAUGUGCUUGUUGAGUUUGACUGAGAGUCACCAAACUUAAUACGAAACAACUCUUAGCAACGGAUAUCUUGGUUCUCGUAACGAUGAAGAGCGCAGCGAAAUGCGAUACGUAAUGCGAAUUGCAGAAUUCAGUGAAUCAUCAAAUUCUUGAACGCAACUGGCGCCUCCGGGUUUCCCUGGAGGCACGUUUCUCUCAGUGUCGGUUUCACUCUCUCCUCAAACCUAAGUCACAUUAGACUAGAGGGAAAAUGAGCGUUAUGAUGUUACAAUUGUAUCGCUUGAAAUUCAAUGAGUUGGUGUCAUGCUGGUUGGUAAUUCUUCGGGAUUGCCGCUGCUAACAACUUGGUAACAGUGAGUAAUUCGUCUUCGGAUGAUACUUAAUGUUAUUGACUGCUAGUGGUUCACUGGUAUGCUGCUAACGAAACCUGCAAAAGUUAAGACCUAACCGUCUCAAUUUUUUCAAACAUAUGACCUGAGAUGAAGCGAGGCUACCCCCGGAAUUUAAGCAUAUUAUUACGGGGAGGAAAAGAAACUAACAAGGAUUCCCCUAGUAACGGCGAGUGAAGCGGGAAGAGCUCAAGUUUAAAAUCGAUAUGCAUCAGUAUAUCGAGUUGUAGUCUCGAGACAUGCUGUCUGCGGUGACGUCGGUACAAGUACCUUGGAAGAGGUUAUCAGAGAGGGUGACAAUCCCGUCGCUGACCGACAGAUCGCCGCUUUCGACGUAUGUUCACAGAGUCGGAUUGCUUGGGAGUGCAGUCCUAAUUGGGUGGUAAAUUUCAUCUAAAGCUAAAUAUUGACGAGAGACCGAUAGCGAACAAGUACCGUGAGGGAAAGAUGAAAAGAACUUUGAAAAGAGAGUCAAAAAGUACUUGAACUUGUUAAGAGGGAAGAGCUGAAAACUAGUAAUGCCCGUGGUUAGUUUCCCGUCCUGACUGAGACCGGUGCGUAAUGAGAGUUCAACCCUCAGUGUGUACCGGAAUUAGUUAGGGCGGUCCCUCUAACUACGAGCGGGUCAGCAUCAGUUCGAAUCGUGGGAGAAAGCUAGGCGGAAGGUAGGGUCUUCGGAUCUGUUAUAGCCGUUUAGCCAUACUAUGGUUUGGACUGAGGAUGUAUCGGCGCUCCGUUUUACGGAGUGACAACUGUGUACCUCAUAUUUUCUGAGUGCUGGAAAACAAUGUUUUGCUGUGCUUGGUUGGUGUGACUGUGCUUGAAGUCGCUGCGCCGACGCGAUGCUGACGAAAUGGUUUUCAACUACCCGUCUUGAAACACGGACCAAGGAGUCUAACAUAUAUGCGAGUAUUUGGGUGGAAAACCCUGGUGCGUAAUGAAAGUAAAGAACACCUAGUGUUUGAGGUAGGAAUCCCGCAAGGGAGGCACUAUCGACCGAUCGUCACUUGUGAAAGAUUUGAGUAAGAGCAUAUCUGUUGGGACCCGAAAGAUGGUGAUCUAUGCCUGAACAGGGUGAAGCCAGGGGAAACUCUGGUGGAGGCUCGUAGCGAUACUGACGUGCAAAUCGUUCGUCUGAUUUGGGUAUAGGGGCGAAAGACUAAUCGAACUAUCUAGUAGCUGGUUCCCUC
rnacentral:misc_RNA from 1 species